GAAAUGAUAUUUUGAAACCAGUUGUCACAAAAUUGAAGGCAGAAACCACCUCCUCCCAUUUCCGCUCUGAAAUAACCUAAGACAACAGAAGAAAUAUCAUACAUUUCAGCAUGACUAAUGAAGUUACUUAUAUCAAUGAAAGCAAUUGCGUCCACAAUUACGGGAAAUCUCUGUUUGCAUGUCUUGGGCAAUUCUUAAUUUUGGGGUAGAGAAUGGGUAGUGUCGAAGACUCAAGAAAUUGUCGGUAAUUGGAUUGCUACAAGGAAGUUGGGAAGAUUCAUAUUUGCUAAAAAUUUGCGACAAGAAGAUUCAAGUUGAUCAUAACACAACAUCAAUUACGAGUUGAGUUAUGAAAUCCAGUGAUGUUUGGUAUCAGCCAUCAAUUGGAGGUUGAGCUAGCCAAUGUUGCUAUAAAGAAAUGAUAUUAUCAAGUAAUAACAACUCUCUCAUGAAUUCACUGUCAAGUGUGAUAUGAGACAAGGAAGCUUAUCAAGCUCAAUUUUUGAAUAGGGUGUGUAAUUAUCUGGAGGAUAUUUUUAAGGAACAUGUAAAUGUUUUAGAUCAAGGGUACAUAUUUUGAUUUAAAUGCUACUCAUAUACUGUACUAUAGAGGGUAGAUCAAGGGGAACAAUUAUUGUAAGGCUUUUGAUUUCUACCCAGUAAUCGAACAAGUUGGACUCACUUUUCCAAAAACCUUAAUGACUUUUUAAAUUUUCAAAUGUUAUAUUUAUUGUACUUUUUUUACAUCAAAAUAUUACUCUCUGGCUCUCUGCUCCGUACCAACUAAUUACCUAUUAAUAUUAUUACAAUUGUUUUUUUGUUAUAGUCGUGCAUCGCACGGGUGCUAACCUAGUACAUAAAACAUGCUAAAUCACAACUUCUAAAGAAGAUCUCAAAGUGAAUAUGUCCAUAAAGAAGAUAUCCCUCCCCCUCACUCCCAAUCCCCAUUGCAAACUCCCUCAGUAGAAAACAGAAGAAGCGUAAACAGGGCAUCUAUUUAACCAGCCAAGCUCAUGCAAGGCACACCAACGAACAAAAAAUAUUGGUACACUAGGACUGUUGCAUCAAGAACAUAUAAUGGUAAGUUUGAAUCAAACUAGAAACCAGUAGAGAGGUUGUAUCUGGUAAACAGACAAAGAAAUCUGGCUGAGAAGGAAGAGAUUCAGGUAUCAGUAAUGAAAGAAUUAUUAUCACUCUCGAACCUCAACUCUCAACAAAAGAAAUCUAAAAUCAUCAAAGAAAGAUUAAGAUGUGCGUCAAACGAACGCUUUCAACUAGUGUUACCUAAUUCUCUAAUCAUCCUACGAACCGCGAACCGAAAAGGCGAAUUAUAACAUGAAAAUGGUAAAAUUUUGGUCCAACUUAGCAACGCAGGUAGCGAACUGCGAUCCCGUACCCAGUCUCAUACUAGCGAAUCAGGUAACAAUGCUUUCAACCCCAGAACAAGUCAACAACUAACUAAAAUGGUUCUUUCUCUAUGUACUCUCAAACUAAUGGCAUGUCAGUACUGAUGAUGCUAUAACAAUAUACUUUAGGCUGCAGAUAAAGCAUAGACUCGUGAAGGGAGAAUCCAUCCCUCACAGACAGAUUA